rnacentral:tRNA from 1 species
GGUGGCUCAGUGGUAGAGCGCUUGCCUCGCAUGCACGAGGCCCUGGGUUCCAUGCCUCAGCACCA